rnacentral:pre_miRNA from 1 species
GCUAGCACAGAUCACCCCAUCUGUGCUGGCGGUGGGCUUAGGUCGACUGCCAGCACAGAUGGGGUGAUCUGUGCUGAC